rnacentral:rRNA from 1 species
AAAAGAACCCCGUUGAGGGGAGUGAAAUAGAUCCUGAAACCGAGCGCUUACAAGCAGUCGGAGCGAAAGUGACGGCGUGCCUUUUGCAUGAGCUAGCGAGUUAACGUCACAGGCAAGGUUAAGGUAUUAAGUACCGCAGCCGUAGCGAAAGCGAGUCCGAAGCGGCGUUUAGUCCGUGGCGUUAGACCCGAAACUGAGUGAUCUAUCCAUGAGCAGGUUGAAGCUGGGGUAAUUCCUAGUGGAGGACCGAACACGUGAAUGUUGAAAAAUUCUGUGAUGACUUGUGGAUAGGGGUGAAAGGCUAAUCAAACUCAGUGAUAGCUGGUUCUC